GCUCUAGUGGCGCAAUUGGUUAGCGCGUUCGACUGUUAAUCGAAAGGAUGGUGGUUCGAGUCCACCCUAGAGCG
rfam:Allomyces macrogynus ATCC 38327 genomic scaffold supercont3.71, whole genome shotgun sequence.